GUACACGCUGUGACUAGCAUAUCAAUAAGCGGAGGAAAAGAAACUAACAAGGAUUCCCCUAGUAACGGCGAGUGAAGCGGGAAGAGCUCAAAUUUGAAAUCUUAAAGGGUUUCCCUUUACGAAUUGUAGUUUAAAGAAGUGUUUUCUGUUGAGGUUUUGGUAAAAGUUCUUUGGAAUAGGACAUCAUAGAGGGUGAGAAUCCCGUAUUUGACCUUUACUUUCAACUUUGUGAUACACUUUCAAAGAGUCGGAUUGUUUGGGAAUGCAGUCCAAAAUGGGUGGUAAAUUUCAUCUAAAGCUAAAUAUUGGCGAGAGACCGAUAGCGAACAAGUACCGUGAGGGAAAGAUGAAAAGAACUUUGAAAAGAGAGUUAAACAGUGCGUGAAAUUGUCAAAAGGGAAGCGUUUGACACCAGUGUUGUUUUUCUGAAAAUCAAUUAAAGAACUGUUUAUGCUAAGCUGUUUAGACUUUAUCAGCUAAUCUGUUUAGUUUUGAGCUUUUCUUUAAUGCACUUUUCAGUUAACAAGUCAACAUCAAUUUCUUUUGCUGUAAAAAAGCUUGAGGAAGGUGGCUUGAGAUUCGUCUUAAGUGUUUAUAGCCUCUUGCCUAUGCAGUCGGAGAGAUUGAGGUCUGCAGCGUAGAUCCUUCGGGGCUAAAUGCAUUUGUGCUAAGUUAUAGCAUUUCAUAGACAACUUGUUGACUAUGAUUUGUCUUGUAGCUUACUCGCUUAUGUUAUUUUACCUACGCUUAGGAUGUUGAAGUCAUCGUAUCGCGC
rnacentral:rRNA from 1 species